GGCCGGGUGGCGGAAUGGCAGACGCAGCGGACUUAAAAUCCGCCGGACCGGAAGGUCCGUACGGGUUCGAAUCCCGUCCCGGCCA
rnacentral:tRNA from 1 species